rnacentral:rRNA from 1 species
GACCUUCGGGCCUCUCGCGUCAGGAUAUGCCCAGGUGGGAUUAGCUAGUUGGUGAGGUAAUGGCUCACCAAGGCGACGAUCCCUAGCUGGUCUGAGAGGAUGAUCAGCCACACUGGAACUGAGACACGGUCCAGACUCCUACGGGAGGCAGCAGUGGGGAAUAUUGCACAAUGGGCGCAAGCCUGAUGCAGCCAUGCCGCGUGUAUGAAGAAGGCCUUCGGGUUGUAAAGUACUUUCAGCAGUGAGGAAGGUGGUGUCGUUAAUAGCGGCAUCAUUUGACGUUAGCUGCAGAAGAAGCACCGGCUAACUCCGUGCCAGCAGCCGCGGUAAUACGGAGGGUGCGAGCGUUAAUCGGAAUUACUGGGCGUAAAGCGCAUGCAGGUGGUUUGUUAAGUCAGAUGUGAAAGCCCGGGGCUCAACCUCGGAAUUGCAUUUGAAACUGGCAGACUAGAGUACUGU